rnacentral:tRNA from 1 species
AAAGGUAUAGCUCAAGUGGUAGGGCACAUGCUUGGCACCCAUGAGGUCCUGGGUUCAAUCCCCAGUACCUCCU